GGCUCCGUAGCUCAGUCUGGCCAGAGCACUGGACUCUUACAACAGAGCAAGCUUGGUUGCUGGAAAAAGGCAACAGCUUAAAACCUUUGUUGAAGUAAUCCAGGUGUCGUGGGUUCAAAUCCCAUCGGGGCCA
rnacentral:tRNA from 1 species